rnacentral:rRNA from 1 species
GACAGAGGGUGCAAACGUUGCUCGGAAUUACUGGGCGUAAAGCGCGUGUAGGCGGGCUAGUAAGUCGGACGUGAAAUCCCUGGGCUCAACCCAGGAACUGCAUCCGAAACUAUUAGUCUUGAGUGGUGGAGAGGAAAGCAGAAUUCCUGGUGUAGAGGUGAAAUUCGUAGAUAUCAGGAGGAACACCGGUGGCGAAGGCGGCUUUCUGGACACUAACUGACGCUGAGACGCGAAAGCGUGGGGAGCAAACAGG